rnacentral:lncRNA from 1 species
AGACAAUCAGGAAAUUAAGUGGUAUCUUUGCCUUGGCACAUGGUGACUUUGGUCACAGAUAUGAACGGGAACAAAGAAAAUGGUGAUUAAGUAAUCUGUGACAUUUGUGGGCUGAAAUCCAACAAGGUGCAGGACACAAUGCAAUUGCAAGAAAUGAAUUCCCAGUCAUUAAGUAGGUCACGACAAUGGAGCUUAUGUUUCGAUCCAAUAGAAUAAGCAACUGAUUUGCUAGGAAUGGGCUGAUGCCUUCAUUGUGGAGCUAUGGAAAUCUUGUACAGUUUCAGAAAUCAUACUUGCAAACUAGUUGAGUCUGUGUGUGUUUUUCUUCCUGAUCGUUUUUAGUAAACUGUUUUCACGUAGGUUUCUAAAUAACAUAGACUAUCUACCUUUGACAUAGCUACGUUUCAAAUACACAGCAAUGAUCUGUGAUCAGACAUUUUCCAAACAUGCAACCACUCUUUCUUCUUUCUGUAUGUGGAGUUAUGUGGUCUAUAAACAGAGUUAAAGGGGUGUUAAGGCUGUGCCAGUUAUUGAAUUAUAUGUAUCGCUCUGUAACCUGAUAAUUGACCUGAAUGUUCCAACUGCUGGUGAAUAUGUCAACCUUUUCCACAAGACCAAUGACCUAAAGCUGUGUUUAUGGCUGGCAAACAUGGAUCACUCUUUAAAGUACUUAAAGGGAUACAAGGCUAGAUUAGACCCAUUGGGGGAUAUUUAUUCAUAAAAUGUAUUCUAAAGUUUUAAACGUGGGAAAUCAACAUGGAAACCAAUGGAACCAGCAGGCACAUUUCACAGGUCAUUCCUCCACUUUUACAUUCUUUUGAAUGGAUACUUUAAUGAAUCUCCCCCAACAUGUUUUAUGGAUUAUUGUACAUGUACAUUACAGCUGGAGUUUUCCAAUUUUUUUUUAAAAUAAUGAAAACUUAUGAAGAUCUUCCAUGUGUUCCGAGUUUAAAUAAUAACGCUUUGCAGCAUCUGAAGUGAGUUCUCACCAAAUCACAAAGUGACUAAUACUCACAAUACUCAACUGUCUUUUUAUAGCGGGUGAGUUAUCCUAAAAUAAAGAAGAUAUGGACACAUAUCUAUAGUUUAUUUCAGAAACAAAAUUAUGUAAAAAAAUAUUUUUUACAACAUCUUUGAAUUUUAAAAUAAUAAUACAAAUAUAUAAAUGUAUAGUGGGCACUAUAGCCACUCAAACAUAUUAGCUUAAUGAAUCAGUUUGAUCAUCCCCCGGCAGUCUCACUGCUCCAUUAUCUGCCCUUUAAAAGUUAAAUCACUUUGUUUAUGCAGCACUCGUCACACCUCCCUGCAUGUGACUUGCACAGCCUUCCUAAACACUUCCUGUAAAGUGAAAUCUAAUGUUUACACUUCCUUUAUUGCAUAGUUUGUUUAAGUUAGUAUAUACUAUCUCCUGCUCUGUUAAUAACUUGAUAAUCUCAUGUGUGUGAUUAAAGUUCAAUAUAUCGAGCUGGAGAUUCAAUUUUUUUUCUAAAGCAAGUUAAUAUCUGAUUGAAAAUUAAAACAUUUUUUUUUUUUCAUUCAGGCUGUGUCAGUCUCAGGCAGGGGAGGUGUGGCUAGGGCUGCAUAAACAGAAACAAAAGUGAUUGAACUCUUAAAUGCAGAGAAAUGAGCAGUGUGAGACUUUAGAGGUAUGAUCUGUAUACCCAAACUGCAUCAUUAAACUAUAGUUGUUUUGGAGACUAUAGUGUCCCUUUAAUUCUUAACCAGAGGAUAGCGUCUGAUUUUUUUGUAGGUGUUUGCUGCUCAUAAUUAUUUUUGUCAUCUUGUUCUCUAGAAAACCUGGAUUAAAAAUUCAGGAUAUACCAAAGAUAAAGCAUUACAUAGGCCUAUCCGCCCAUGUUUGUGCUGUCUAAGC